GACGAACCGUGCGAACGUUGUUCGGAAUCACUGGGCUUAAAGGGCGCGUAGGCGGGCACGCAAGUCAGGGGUGAAAUCCCACGGCUCAACCGUGGCAGGGCCCUUGAUACUGCGUGCCUCGAGGGAGGUAGGGGCGUGCGGAACUUCCGGUGGAGCGGUGAAAUGCGUAGAUAUCGGAAGGAACACCGGUGGCGAAAGCGGCGCGCUGGACCUCUUCUGACGCUGAGGUACGAAAGCUAGGGGAGCGAACGGG
rnacentral:rRNA from 1 species